rnacentral:rRNA from 1 species
UACGGAGGAUCCGAGCGUUAUCCGGAUUUACUGGGCGUAAAGGGAGCGUAGGCGGAUACUUAAGUGGGAUGUGAAAUACCUGGGCUUAACUUGGGUGCUGCAUUCCAAACUGGGUGUCUAGAGUGUUGGAGAGGAAAGUGGAAUUCCUAGUGUAGCGGUGAAAUGCGUAGAGAUUAGGAAGAACACCAGUGGCGAAGGCGACUUUCUGGACAAUAACUGACGCUGAGGCUCGAAAGCGUGGGGAGCAAACAGGAUUAGAUACCCUGGUAGUCCACGCCGUAAACGAUGGGUACUAGGUGUAGGGGGUAUCGACUCCCCCUGUGCCGCCGUUAACACAAUAAGUACCCCGCCUGGGGAGUACGGUCGCAAGAUUAAA